UACGGAGGAUGCGAGCGUUAUCUGGAUUUAUUGGGUUUAAAGGGUGCGUAGGCGGGAAAAUAAGUCAGUGGUGAAAUCCUACAGCUUAACUGUAGAAUUGCCGUUGAUACUGUUUUUCUUGAGUAUGGUCAAGGAAGGCGGAAUGUGUAAUGUAGCGGUGAAAUGCUUAGAUAUUACACAGAACACCAAUUGCGAAGGCAGCUUUCUGGCCCAUUACUGACGCUGAGGCACGAAAGCGUGGGGAUCGAACAGGAUUAGAUACCCCGGUA
rnacentral:rRNA from 1 species